GACGAACGCUGGCGGCGUGCUUAACACAUGCAAGUCGAACGGAAAGGCCCUGCUUUUGUGGGGUGCUCGAGUGGCGAACGGGUGAGUAACACGUGAGUAACCUGCCCUUGACUUUGGGAUAACUUCAGGAAACUGGGGCUAAUACCGGAUAGGAGCUCCUGCUGCAUGGUGGGGGUUGGAAAGUUUCGGCGGUUGGGGAUGGACUCGCGGCUUAUCAGCUUGUUGGUGGGGUAGUGGCUUACCAAGGCUUUGACGGGUAGUCGGCCUGAGAGGGUGACCGGCCACAUUGGGACUGAGAUACGGCCCAGACUCCUACGGGAGGCAGCAGUGGGGAAUAUUGCACAAUGGGCGGAAGCCUGAUGCAGCAACGCCGCGUGCGGGAUGACGGCCUUCGGGUUGUAAACCGCCUUCGCCUGUGACGAAGCGUGAGUGACGGUAAUGGGUAAAGAAGCACCGGCUAACUACGUG
rnacentral:rRNA from 1 species